rnacentral:rRNA from 1 species
CGACCGGCGCACGGGUGAGUAACGCGUAUGUAAUCUACCUGUAACAGAGGGAUAACCCGGAGAAAUCCGGACUAAUACCUCAUAGCACAUAUUAUUCGCAUGAAUUUUAUGUUAAAGAGACUCGGUUACAGAUGAACAUGCGUUCCAUUAGCUAGUUGGCGGGUUACGGCCCACCAAGGCAACGAUGGAUAGGGGUUCUGAGAGGAAGGUCCCCCACACUGGUACUGAGACACGGACCAG